CAAGAGAUAGUUUAGAUUCCAGAAU
rnacentral:tRNA from 1 species